rnacentral:rRNA from 1 species
UACGUAGGGUGCGAGCGUUGUCCGGAAUCAUUGGGCGUAAAGCGCGCGUAGGCGGCCCGGUAAGUCCGUUGUAAAAGUCCAGGGCUCAACCCUGGAAAGCCGGUGGAUACUGUCGGGCUAGAGUCCGGAAGAGGCGAGUGGAAUUCCUGGUGUAGCGGUGGAAUGCGCAGAUAUCAGGAGGAACACCAAUAGCGAAGGCAGCUCGCUGGGACGUUACUGACACUGAGGCGCGAAAGCGUGGGGAGCGAACAGG